rnacentral:rRNA from 1 species
GACGAACGCUGGCGGCGUGCUUAACACAUGCAAGUCGAACGGACAGGCCCUGCUCGUAGGGUACUCGAGUGACGAACGGACGAGUAACACGCGGGUGAUUUACCUUGCACUUCGGGUUAAGUCUGGGAGACUGGGUCUAAUACCGGCCAGGUACCAUAUUUAGUGUGAUGGUUGGAUAGUUAUAUCGGUGUAGGAUGAGUUCGCGGCCUAUCAGCUUGUUGGUGGGGUAAUGGCCUACCAAGGCGGCGUCGGGUAGCCGGCCUGCGUGGGUGGACGGCCACACAGACACUUAGAGACGGCCGAGACGCCGACGGGAGGCAGCAGUGGGGAAGAUUGCACAAUGGGCGCAAGCCGGAUGCAGCGACGCUUCGUGUGGGAAGACGGCCUUCUGGUGGUAAACUCCAUUCGCUAGGGACGAAGCUUGUUGUGACGGUACCUAGAUAAGAAGCACCGGCUAACUACGUG